UAAAUAAGUGCAGCUAGUAAUUUAAAAUAAGUAUUAAAAAAUAAAAAAGUAUGUAAAAAAUGUUGGUCAAUUCAUAUAGUUGAGUAAAACAGUGAGAAAAAAGUGAAGAAAAAUCCUGUGAAAAAAAUCUACAUUGAGUUUUGCUAUAAACAAUUUUUAUCUUGUCAUUAUGUGUGGUAUCUUUUGUGAAAUCUCUAUCAAAAGUCAACAGUUUCAACAACAUGUUUGCCCAGAAUCUAUUCAUAAAAGCCUAAGUCGAAGAGGACCUGAUGUAUCAGGAAGUUGUGCAUUUGAAAUAAACAUAGACAGUAGACCUGUCUAUCUAAGUUUUGCUGGUUAUGUGCUUCAUUUACGAGGAAAUUUAACAAAGCAGCCAAUUGUUUCCAGUUUUGGUGAUGUUCUUUUAUGGAAUGGAGAAAUAUUUGGUGGAAAGCUUACGGUUGAUGAGUUUGCCAACGACACAGAAGUUCUAAUGAAAAAACUUCUUACUUGUUCAAAUAGUGAUGAAAUAGUUGACAUACUUUCUUCUGUUAAUGGUCCAAGAGCAUUUAUUUAUUACCAAGAUAAAAGCAAAUUGCUCUGGUAUGGGCGUGAUUGUUUUGGUCGAAGAAGCUUGUUAUCAUGUAUUAAGCAAGAUUCUUUUGUUCUUUCAUCUGUUGGAAGCAGAAAUUUAGAAAUGGAAUUUGAAGAAGUUCCUGCAAAAAAUAUUUACUGCUUGCAUCUUAGUGAUAUUCAUGAAAAACCAUUUUUAGAUGCUAUUCAAAUGUACCCAUUAUCUUUAUUGCCUCACAAAAUAGACAACACUUUGUAUCUUUAUGAACAUCGAUGUCUCAAACCAAUUUUUACAGAGAACCAACUAAUAAAUAAUAAUUUUCAAAACAAAUUAUUAAGAUUUUUCGAAAAUUUAAAUAUUGAAUUUCAUGAUGAAAAAAAUCUUCCCUCUGUCUGUUGUUGCUUAGCUAAAUUGAUACAUCUAUCAAGUGAUAAUGAAUUCCCAAAAAACAAAGAAACUAGUUGCAAGUGCUGCUUGUGUGAAAAUGAGACAUUUUUUGAUCGACUUAGAGCUGUGGAUAAAGUUAAUGCUUCAAGUUCUAUUAAGUACUGCUCUAUUGAGUUAUUGCAAAGUCAAUUUUAUGAAAUUUUAUUAAAAUCUGUUAGAACACGUGUUAACAACCUACCUAGAGAAAAUUUCAAUGAAUCGUGCGAUAAAAAAGUAAGUGGUUUCAAAAAACCAUGUGUUGGAAUUCUUUUUUCAGGUGGUAUUGAUUCAGUUGUUUUGGCAUCUCUUGCUGACUUAUGUGUCCCAAAGUAUGAGCCUAUUGAUCUUAUAAAUGUUGCUUUUCAACAACAUAUCUCUACAUUUAAAUUAGGUUCAAAGAAACACCAAACUACUAACAAAACAGUUCAUUUUGAUGUCCCUGAUAGAAUAUCAGGAAGGCUUGCAUUAAAAGAGUUACCAACUGAUAGAGUAUGGAAUUUUAUUGAAGUUGAUGUUACAUUAGAUGAGCUUAAAGAAGAAAGAAAAAAUAAAAUUGCCGAUUUAGUAUAUCCCCUGGAUUCUGUUCUUGAUGACAGUAUUGGUUGUGCUCUUUGGUUUGCUGCACGAGGUAUUGGGAAAUUGUAUUCAGUGUCAUGCAAUAACUCUUUUAGUCUAAUUGAAGAAUAUUAUGAAAGUCCAGUGAAGGUUUCACUAUUUUCUAAAUGUUUUAUUGUGUGGAAUGGGAGCUGAUGAGCAACUAGGGGGAUAUUCAAGACACAGAUCAAAAUAUGAAUCUUCUGGAUGGGAUGGUUUAGCUGCAGAGAUGCAUAUGGAGUUAGAUAGAAUAUCAUCAAGAAAUCUUGGAAGAGAUGACAGAUGUAUUUCUGACCAUGGACGCGAAGUUAGAUUUCCAUUUCUUGAUGAAAACGUGGUUUCGUAUCUUUCGAAACUUCCAACAUGUGUUAAGUGUGAUCCUCGUUUGCCACGUGGGUUUGGAGAAAAAAUAUUGCUUCGUGAGCUUGCUGGUUCCCUAGGUCUUCGUUACUGUAGCUCGUUGCCAAAAAGAGCUAUUCAGUUUGGUUCGAAAAUUGC
rnacentral:misc_RNA from 1 species